GAUGAACGCUGGCGGCGUGCCUAAUACAUGCAAGUCGAGCGAACAGAUAAGGAGCUUGCUCCUUUGACGUUAGCGGCGGACGGGUGAGUAACACGUGGAUAACCUACCUAUAAGACUGGGAUAACUUCGGGAAACCGGAGCUAAUACCGGAUAACAUAUUGAACCGCAUGGUUCAAUAGUGAAAGGCGGCUUUACUGUCACUUAUAGAUGGAUCCGCGCCGUAUUAGCUAGUUGGUAAGGUAACGGCUUACCAAGGCAACGAUACGUAGCCGACCUGAGAGGGUGAUCGGCCACACUGGAACUGAGACACGGUCCAGACUCCUACGGGAGGCAGCAGUAGGGAAUCUUCCGCAAUGGGCGAAAGCCUGACGGAGCAACGCCGCGUGAGUGAUGAAGGUCUUCGGAUCGUAAAACUCUGUUAUCAGGGAAGAACAAAUGUGUAAGUAACUGUGCACAUCUUGACGGUACCUGAUCAGAAAGCCACGGCUAACUACGUG
rnacentral:rRNA from 1 species